rnacentral:snRNA from 1 species
AUGCUCGCUUCAGCAGCACAUAUACUAAAAUUGGAAAGAUACAGAGAAGAUUAGCAUGGCUUCUGCACAAGAAUUAAUCACACUGUGAAAUUAUUCUU